GAUGAAGAACGCAGCGAAAUGCGAUAAGUAGCGUGAAUUGCAGAAUUCAGUGAAUCAUCGAAUCUUUGAACGCACAUUGCGCCCCUUGGUAUUCCAUGGGGCAUGCCUGUUCGAGCGUCAUUUGUACCUUCAAGCUCUGCUUGGUGUUGGGUGUUUGUCUCGCCUCUGCGUGUAGACUCGCCUCAAAACAAUUGGCAGCCGGCGUAUUGAUUUCGGAGCGCAGUACAUCUCGCGCUUUGCACUCAUAACGACGACGUCCAAAAGUACAUUUUUACACUCUUGACCUCGGAUCAGGUAGGGAUACCCGCUGAACUUAAGCAUAUCAAUAAGCGGAGGA
rnacentral:misc_RNA from 1 species